rfam:Nitrospirillum amazonense Y2 contig00742, whole genome shotgun sequence.
CCUCUUCGAUCUGCUGCGGGCAGAUGAAGUGGAUGUGGGUGUCGAUGCCGCCGGCCGUCAGGAUCUUGCCCUCGCCCGCGAUGACCUCCGUCCCCGGUCCGACGAUGAUGUCCACGCCCGGCUGGACGUCGGGAUUGCCGGCCUUGCCGAUAUGGUGGAUGCGGCCGUCGCGCAGGCCCACGUCGGCCUUGACGAUGCCCCAGUGGUCGAUGAUCAGGGCGUUGGUGAUGACGGUGUCGACCGCACCUUGGGCGCGUGUGGCCUGCGACUGGCCCAUGCCGUCGCGGAUG